AGGCUCCUGUCUAUUUUAGGGAAGAUUUGUUUAGUGUUUUGGGAAACGAGCGGCCUGAUUAUAGAUGGAUUAUAAUCGGACCGUCCGGGUCUGGUUCUUCUUUCCAUAUUGAUCCUAACUCGACCUCUGCUUGGAACGCGGUGAUCACGGGUUCGAAGAAGUGGGUUUUGUUCCCGCCGGAUGUGGUUCCUCCGGGUGUGCAUCCGAGUCCUGAUGGAGCGGAGGUGGCGUGAAGAAGCAAAACUUGUAUUACGUUUGAUUCCGAAAAUAAAACAAACCAACUCUUGGAACAUUCCUUGUGCUCUAUCUUCUUGUACUUAUCUUUCCAUGUUUUAUAAAAACAUUCCUGCAUUUCUAGCACUUCGUGGCCAGCAAAGUUCAUCACACCCACAACAGAUAGCAAACUUGCAUUCUGGUUCUUGACAAACUUGACAUCACCAACACCUAUCACUCUCAUCAGCCAACCAUAUACAUGACAAGUCUCCAAUCUAUUCCACUUAGCUAGCUUAACGAAGACACCACCCGGUUCCCACACUCUAACACAAAGAGAUAAACCCGAGAGUCCCUUUCCCAUCAACACCUUUUGCAUUCUCCAAUGUUCGCAUGUGACCCUUGAUUAUUAUGGUCAAGUUGUGGCCUGAUUCCAGUCAACUCCUUUCUUUUGAACUUAAAUUUCCAUAUCUUUAGCAUUUUACUCACGAUUUUCUGAUGAUUCUCUCUUCUUCCUCUUAAACACAUUUGAUCAAACAGCUGGUGUGCAACUAAAUCAAUAGCCCCCACUGACUUUUGAGCCAACUUCUCCACCGAAUCCAUAUCUAAAAUGUAUGCUUGUUCAACCUUUGGAGCACUCCAAACACCAACGUCGUAUGAAUCAUUGACUAGAAGCUGUGAGCUACUGUUCUUAAGCAAAGCAGAAAGCAAUUCAUCAACCCUAUGGCUUGGUUCCGUAAGAGAGUUUAAUACCUGAAUCGAAUUUUUUCGGGUUUUAGAAGGGUUUAAGGGUUUCGAGAAAUGGGUAGAUAGAACGCCAUUGUUCAAUCAUCAGAGGAGGAGGAAGUAAAAAAGCUCGCCAGCUGUUACUAAGGACCAUCUCAAAAAACUUCUUAAUUAAGGACAAAUGACUUCUGUUUCUUUGUAAUUUCUGUAUUUUUCAUUUAUUUCUCAACCCAAUAUAGUUUAGGACUCUGUCUAAGGACACCAAUAAAGAUGGUCUAAGUAAUAUGUAUAUUCAUCUUUGUCUUGUUAUAAAAUCACAGUAAUCGAAAAGAUGAGAUAAUUUGGAAAACUCGUUUAAAAAUUACAAAUUUAGUAAUUGGUUAGUACAUGAGGCAGGCAAGAAGAUCAGCUGACCUGUACUUCCCGCAGGUAAAAAAUACACCCCAUCUAAACCAAGAUCUCAUCCGUCCAUCUCAACCAAAAGAAACCAAUCCUCGCCGUUGAUUCACCUUUCUUCCACUCGAAGUUACCAAAAAUAACCUUACUCGUCAUUGUCACGAGACUCCAUGGACGAACAAAAAAAAAACAUAACCUUUUAGGGCUUCAAAAAAAAAAAAAAUCCAGAGGGAAAAACAAAGACCAAUUCUCUCUCUCUCUCUCUAGUCUCUCCUUCUUCUCUUCCGUUUCCACGAUUCUGUUAGAGAUAGAGAGAGAAGAAGAGAUAUUAUUAUUAUUAUUAGCUCAAAAGAAUAGAAGAUAUUUUCCUGGGAAAUUUCAACUUUCUCCCGUUCCUGGUGAUUGAAAAGGUAAGUUUCUCCGCGGCGCUAUCGCUUUAGAUUGAGACGAAUUGACUUUUCUUUACAUGUGCCUUUGCAGAAUUCGAUUCAGCUGGUGAAAUCCCCAAAUUCAAUUUUCAAAUCUCUCUUAAGGAUUUGGUUCGAUUCUUACUAUGUUUAUCCUUGGAUUGUGAAAUUGGAUACAAUACAAGCUAUGGAUUUAGUAAGAUGCUGUGAUUGUGGAUGCGAUUGCUCUCUCAACGCUUCGUGGAUUCGAUCCGUCAAGAGAAAACACGAGGAGCUCGAGAACUACAUACCUGAGCUUGACUUGGACUCGUCUUCUUCCAACGCGAAAGUCCAAAUCGAGAACGAAUGCGAGCUCCUGCGCGAAACCGUCACCUCUCAGCAGGAAUCGAUUCAAGAGCUCUACGCCGAGCUCGACGAGGAGAGAAACGCGGCUUCCACGGCUGCGAACGAGGCGAUGUCUAUGAUACUGAAGCUGCAGAGGGACAAGGCUGAGAUUCAGAUGGAGCUGAGGCAGUUUAAGCGGUUUGCGGAGGAGAAGAUGGAGCAUGAUCAGCAGGAGCUUUUGGCUCUUGAGGAUUUGGUUUAUAAGAGGGAGCAGACUGUUCAGGCGCUUGUUUGUGAGGCUCAGGGUUAUAAGCAUAGGAUGAUGAGUUAUGGGGUUGAUGAGUCUGAGUUUGAUGGGGAGAGGAAUGAGUUUGAGUAUGACCUCCCUGCUUAUGAUUAUCCUCCUCUUAAGUGUAGUUUGAAUGAGAAUCCAGAUCUGGAGGCUGAUGUUGAGGAUGUUGAAAAGUACGCACUGACUGAUUCUUCACCUCAUGGUAGAGAAGAUUUGAAGAGUUUGGAACAGAGGAUAAGUCAGAUGGAGAGCUUUACUCCGCCUCAUGGUGAUGUAUCCGGAGGAGGGAGAACUUAUUUGGAGAAGGAGGUGGUUGGUCAGAGUCCUAGGCGUCAGAGACAUCUCAGGGGGGUCUCCACCGGUAGUUCAGGUUCACUAUUGGGAACAAGCAAGGAUCAAGGGCCUGGCUUGUAUGCAGAGGGUAAGGGUGACUUAUCAGAGACGGGAGAUAAUGAGAUGGAUGAUAGAGUCUAUACCAUUGAUUCUAUCCAUCACAGUGUAUCUCAGAGUGAUGUUUCUGAGCAGAAGUUUAAGGAUGAUGGCUAUGGAGAUAAAUUGAACCAGCCUGAUGAUCAUAGUGAUCCUGGGAUAACGAAGCUCUACGCGAGGCUUCAAGCACUGGAGGCUGACAGGGAAUCGAUGAGACAGGCGAUUGUGUCUAUGAGGACUGAGAAAGCUCAAAUGGUUCUUUUGAAAGAGAUUGCGCAACAUCUAUCGAAGGAUAUUAUUCCUGAACGGAGAUUGCCUCUGCAGAAAGCGUCUACUGUUGGAGCAUUCAGUUUCAUAUCUCUCUUUAAGGUGAUUUUUUUUCGUAUGCCAAUCAAUGUGUUGUUGUCUUUAAGAAGCAGGUUGUGCUAAUUAUAGUUUACUCCUUAGCUGAUUCUUGUGAUUGUUCCUUGUGCAGUGGAUUACAUCUUUUCUUUUCUGGAGAAAGAGGGCUCGUAGAAGCAAGUAAGCAACACACAGUCUUGAACUUUGAUUAGCUUUUUGCUUCACCUGAGUUUUGAGAUUUGAAGUUGUAUACUUAUGCAAGCAUCCUUGUGUUCAAAAUGGUUAAAUGCAGGUACAUGAACGGGAUGCAAGGGAGCACGAUGGGGUUGCAAAUGCUUCUAGAGAAGACUCCACGGAUACGGCAAUGGAGAUGUCUUUCAAGAACGCAAGUGUGAAACAACAUAUCACAUUCUCCAACUGGUGAAUCUGAAGGCUCUUAAUGUGAAUAUACUGGGAGUAACAUCACUCUCCCAUCAUCAUUCAUAUGGUUGCUGAGAAAAAAAAAAUGUUUUUCUCUGUGUGCAGUUUCUUUCUUUAUUUUGCAUUUGCCAUAUAUAUAUUUCAUUUGUUGUUUGGGGUUUGAAUGGGGUUUGAUUAUUGUCUAAAAGCUUGUUUUUUUUAUACAGUAAGCUGUGUAUAAUUUUCCCACAUUCUUGUUUGGGUUUUCUCUGGCAAAGAAUACAAAACUUCCGGUGAUCGGAACUUGGUGUUGUAUUGAAUGUACUCAAAAGUUAUCGAUCCUUUAAACGAAGCUACCAUCAAUCAAAGUUUAUUUCUGUUUUUGUUUUUCAAGGUCUAAUUGAUUAAUCAACAUCUAAUCAAUUUCGGUUUAACCGGUUCGACCCAAAGAGAUUGCCCAAUCGAAUUUUCUUAUUCCGGUUUAGUAGUCACUCGUUAAAACCCAAAACCCUCGCCGCAUAAGCUGAUUGAAGCUCCGUCACAAGAUGCCGAACUCGCUUCUAGCCUCCAGUCUCCGUAACCGGCGGCGCAGAUCCAAAUCCAAAAGACAAAAGCUCAUUCAGAAUCAACCUCCGUCUCAAGAGACGGCACUAACAGAGGAGGAAGAGGAAGAAGAAGAAGAUGAAGGAAACGGGUUCAAGCUCAAAACUUCAGCAAAGCACGGAGUCCAACCUCUCGGAAACCUCUACUUCGUCAACAAGGGCGCCGUCAACGUGCGAAACACUGGUCUAGGCAACCUCCAGGUCCUCACCGACGAGCUCGUUCUAGAAAUCCUAGCUCUCCUCGACGCGGCUCAUCUCGGCGUUUUAUCCACCGUCACCAAAUCCUUCUACGUAUUCGCUAACCACGAGCCUCUCUGGAGAAACCUCGUCUUGGAAGAGCUAAAAGGAGACUUUUUGUUCGCCGGGUCGUGGAAAGCCACCUACGUAGCGUCUCGUUAUCCAAAGUCGCAGCCUUUUGGAGGAGAUGGCGAAUCGGUUUUGAAGAUUAGAGAUUUCUAUUCUGAUUACCUCUUCCAGAGCUGGCUAUGCGCGAAUCUCGAGAUGAAGCGGGAGUGGCUUGAACGGGAUAACAUCUCCCGUGUGAGAGGCCUUUCCGUUGAGGAGUUUAUUACUAACUUCGAGGAGCCGAAUAAGCCUGUUCUGUUGGAAGGGUGUUUGGACGACUGGGGUGCGGUUAAGAAAUGGACUAAAGAGUAUCUGAGUGACGUGGCUGGUGACGUGGAGUUCGCUGUUGGUCCGGUUGAGAUGAAGCUCGAGAACUAUUUUAAGUACUCUGACGGAGUUAGCGAGGAGAGGCCGUUGUACUUGUUUGAUCCCAAGUUUGCUGAGAAAGUUCCCGUUUUGGACUCGGAGUAUGAGGCUCCUGUCUAUUUUAGGGAAGAUUUGUUUAGUGUUUUGGGAAACGAGCGGCCUGAUUAUAGAUGGAUUAUAAUCGGACCGUCCGGGUCUGGUUCUUCUUUCCAUAUUGAUCCUAACUCGACCUCUGCUUGGAACGCGGUGAUCACGGGUUCGAAGAAGUGGGUUUUGUUCCCGCCGGAUGUGGUUCCUCCGGGUGUGCAUCCGAGUCCUGAUGGAGCGGAGGUGGCGUGUCCUGUUUCGAUAAUGG
rnacentral:lncRNA from 1 species